GACGAACGCUGGCGGCGUGCUUAACACAUGCAAGUCGAACGGAAAGGACCUGCUUUUGGGGUGUGCUCGAGUGGCGAACGGGUGAGUAACACGGGGGUAAUCUGCCCCUGACAUUGGGAUAACUUCAGGAAACUGGGCCCAAUACAGGAGAGGUGCUACUGCUGCAUGGCGUGGGAUGGAAAGUUUCGGCGGUUAGGGAUGGACUCGUGGCAGAUCAGCUUGCGUGUGGGGUAGUGGCUUACCAAGGCAUUGCCGCGUAGCCGGCCUGAGAGGGUGACCGGCCACAUUGGGUCUGAGCUACGGCCCAGACUCCUCCGGGAGGGGGCAGUGGGGAAUAUUGCACAAUGGGCGGAAGCCUGAUGCAGCACCGCGGCGUGCCGGAUGACGGCCUUCGGGUUGUAACCCGAUUUCCCCUGUGACGAAGCGUGAGUGACGGUAAUAGGUAAAGAAGCACCGGCUAACUACGUG
rnacentral:rRNA from 1 species